AAUCAAUCAAAAAUGAGCGUCAUAAAUCAUUGUCAUAUAGUUUUUAUAAUCGUCUGCAUAUUGUCAAUUUCGAGUAUCGUGCAUACCCAAGGGAAAGAAAAAAAUAUUUCAGAUAGAAGUGCUAGUGUUCCUAACGUUAUCAAAGCUACCUACACAUUGGAAACGAAAAUGCCAUUAGAAGGAGAAAAUAUUGCAGCUGUAAAAAUUAUUCCAAAAGCUCCAAAUUAUUGUUUCUUUUUUAAGUAUUGUUUGCAAAUGUUUUGUGAAUGUAAAAAUAUAUAUAUUCCUAACUGAGUUUCAUAUUCUUACUUGGUAAUACUGAG